rnacentral:rRNA from 1 species
CCUACGGGGGGCUGCAGUGGGGAAUAUUGGACAAUGGGGGCAACCCUGAUCCAGCCAUACCGCGUGUGUGAAGAAGGCCUUAGGGUUGUAAAGCACUUUCAGUGGGGAGGAAAAGUUGCCGGCGAAUACCCGGCGACCGUGACGCUACCUGCAGAAGAAGCACCGGCAAACUCCGUGCCAGCAGCCGCGGUAAUACGGAGGGUGCGAGCGUUAAGCGGAAUUACCGUGGGUGAAUCGGGCGUAUGGGGGUGAAAGCCCUGGGCUCAACCUGGGAACUGCAUCCAGAACUGCCAGGCUAGAGUAUGGUAGAGGACAGUGGAAUUUCCGGUGUAGCGGUGAAAUGCGUAGAGAUCGGAAGGAACACCAGUGGCGAAGGCGACUGUCUGGACCAAUACUGACGCUGAGGUGCGAAAGCGUGGGGAGCAAACAGGAUUAGAUACCCCUGUAGUC